ACCAGGAAGGGCGUAGUAAACGAAACUCUUUUGGGUAGUUGAAAAGAAGUGUAUAUCCGAAUAUUCCCAAAUAGGUCAACCUUUUGAACUACUGUUGAAUCCACGGGCAUACAAGAGCCAACUUGGCGAACUGAAACAUCUUAGUAGCCGGAGGAAAAGAAAGCAAAAGUUAUUCCCAUAGUAGCCGCGAAUGAAAUGGGAGUAGCCUAAAUCAUGAAAAUGGGGUUGUGGGAGAGAAAUAAAAGCAUCCUGCUGCUAGGUGAAGCAAUGAAGUGUCGGACCCUAGAUGGCGAUAAUCCAAUAGUGACCUGCCAUAAUUUGUAGUGGCAAAUUAGGUAUUUUUCGGCACUUAACAGGCUUUUUA
rfam:Gossypium hirsutum cultivar TM-1 chromosome 5, whole genome shotgun sequence